CAACCUGAGCUCAGUCGUGAUUACCCGCUGAACUUAAGCAUA
rnacentral:rRNA from 1 species